rnacentral:rRNA from 1 species
AGUCCAGAGAGUUUGAUUCUGGCUCAGGAUGAACGUUGGCGGCGUGCCUAACACAUGCAAGUCGAACGGGUCUUCUGGACCGGAGGCUUCGGGCCAAAGGGACUUAAGGCUAGUGGCGGACGGGUGAGUAACGCGUGGAGAACCUGGCCCUGUACUGGGGGAUAACAGUGAGAAAUCACUGCUAAUACCGCAUAAGCGCACGAGCACCGCAUGGUGCCGUGUGAAAAACUCCGGUGGUACAGGAUGGCUCCGCGUUGGAUUAGCCAGUUGGCGGGUAACGGCCCACCAAAGCGACGAUCCAUAGCCGGCCUGAGAGGGUGAACGGCCACAUUGGGACUGAGACACGGCCCAGACUCCUACGGGAGGCAGCAGGUGGGAAUAUUGCACAAUGGGGGAACCCUGAUGCAGCCGACGCCGCGUGAAGGAUGAAGUAUCUCGGUAUGUAAACUUCUAUCAGCAGGGAAGAUGAUGACGGUACCUGACUAAGAAGCCCCGGCUAACUACGUGCCAGCAGCGGC